CCUCGAAUUUGCGCCCCGGUCGCGAGGCCGGUCUGCAAAGCCAAGGCUCUCUCGGAGACAGCCUGGUUGCCGAAG
rnacentral:ncRNA from 1 species